rnacentral:rRNA from 1 species
UACGUAGGGGGCAAGCGUUGUCCGGAAUCAUUGGGGCGUAAAGCGCGUGUAGGCGGCCCGGUAAGUCCGCUGUGAAAGUCGGGGGCUCAACCCUCGAAUGCCGGUGGAUACUGUCGGGCUAGAGUGCGGAAGAGGCGAGUGGAAUUCCUGGUGUAGGCGGUGAAAUGCGCAGAUAUCAGGAGGAACACCAAUUGCGAAGGCAGCUCGCUGGGACGUUACUGACGCUGAGACGCGAAAGCGUGGGGAGCGAACAGG